rnacentral:lncRNA from 1 species
UAAAAUACAGCAAAGAACCAUUCCAUUAUUCUAAAUCCAUCUUCAGUAACCAUAAAAUCGUCUCCACGCAUUACAAAAUGGUUAUGAAAGAAACUAAACGACCUUAGCAGGAAUUACAUCAGGAGCUGCGUCAACCUUAAAAAAGAAAAAAAAAAGGGACCCAAAACCGCGAUGAGAGGAAACGAACAUUGAAGCCGUGAAGAUGAAGAUUUGAAGCAUACACUAAACCAGUCCCUGGGUUGUUAGAUUUGAAGAUGAAGAUUGAAGCCUUGUUGAAGUUUUGUUAGAUGACUAGAAGUCUAGAUCUGGCCAUGAAGUUUUGUAAAGUGAUGGAGAAUUAAUUUUUUAUCAGGUCGAGAGUGAGAGAGGUUUAGAUUUGAGAAGAUUUGAGAGAUUUGAGAGAGAGGUUUAGAUUUGAGGGCUGGGGGGGCGGCUGGAUGCAAGGGAAUGCUAGGGUUAAAAGUUUAGAUUUGAGAAGAUUUGAGAAGAGAGGUUUAGACGUGAGAGGAUUUGAGAGAUUUGAGAGAGAGGUUUAGAUUUGAGGGCUGGGG